rnacentral:lncRNA from 1 species
GAGGAAUUCCAGCAGUUGCAGAGGCGGAAGUCGAAAUCCACAGUCGCAAAGUCCCCAGCAUGGCCAGCAGCUUCUGUGGCCGGCGUUAGUGGAGUUGGACGGCAGGAUGAGGGCGCAGCAGGCAGCAGCGGUGUGGACAGAGCCUUGGCACAGGAUUAACACCCAAUAGGAGACUCAAUGGAGAAGCCAGAAGAUUGAAACUUAUAUAUCACCCUGAGCUACUGAAAGGAGUAGGGGUUUGGAGUUUCUUGUGGUUGGUGGAGAAAAAUCAUGGGAAGGAGAAAGAAGCAAAGCAUCUAGGAAACGCAUUCAAGUGUAGAACCUGGGCAUGCUGACCAAGGCAGAAGACGUCAUUCCAGACAGGGUUGGCUUGGACACCACAGGACACUUUCCCGGGGGUGUGGAGGCCCACGGCAGCCUGAACAGGGUUUGUGAGGAGGAGGAUGACAAAAAUCUAAAAAGCUGAAGAAAAGAAUUUUUGAGGCUCUGUUGCUUGGAACAGAAAACCAACUGUCUAAAGAAGGUGAUGCGUUAAAUAGGGUCCCUGGGAUUAGGCAAAAUCCUAAAUGUUGAAAGAGGAGGGAUUAAGAGGGAAUGCAUUAAAAGUUUUUCUUCUGAAUUUGGAUAUACAGAAAAAAAGAAAUAAACCAGUAUGUCCUACCGUUUUAAAAUACAGUCAUACAGCUCUGAAAUGCUAAACCUAAAAUGAAGCUCAAAGUUUGAAACACCCAUGUACAAAGAGAACUCCCACAUCUGUGUACUUAAGCAUUUCAGAAAGUCUCAAGAGGGCUCAGUUUCAUUUUUAAAGUAUCAAGAUAUGUACCAAGAAGGCUCAAGAGAGUCUGUAAGUUUAAAAAAAAUUUUUUGUACUAGGGAUCAAGCCCUGGGCUUCACACAUUCUAGGCAAGUGUUCUACCACUGAGCUACAUUCUCAGCCAAGAUUAUUUGAAGUUUUAUUGUGCAUUAAAUUAUUUGAGAAAAUACUAGUAUUGAGAUAGUGAAAAUAUUUAUUUUCUCCUAGUUGCCAGUCUUUCCACCAAUUUCAGGUCUGUAAUUCAUGCAAAGUCACUUUCCCUAGCCCAAAAUCUGCUGCAAAAGACUUUCUCCUGUGACCCAGCCUCCCCAGCUCUCUACUCCCUGCUUCCGUUCACGGGUCUGCUUGAGCUCUCUUUCUCCCACCCUGUUUGUCCACGUAAGUCCAGGAGCUGUGGAAACCUGCAGAGCUGGCUUUCCAAUCCUCCCUGCUCUUCAAAGCUGUACAAAUUUCAAGGCGCUUAACUUCUCCCUACUUAGUCUUUUUAAUGUAAGACAGUGAUAACCCUUCUCGCAAACAAGAUUGAUAGGAGAGGAAGUGAGAAAAUGUGUGUAACUCUCAUGUCAGACGCCUGCCUGAGAGCAGGUGCACCUUCUCCUGGGCCCUCUCUAUCUUGUCUUUAUUCGGGCCUUCCUUGACACCUCUUGCCUACCAAGGCAGAAGACUCUAGUUUCUUCCUUGAAUUACCGAAACACUGUGUUAUCUGUUGUAGCACUCAACACCCAUGAAUCAUCUACUUUAUAAUAUAGUUAAUUCUAUAAAGUUCUCAGAAGCUGAAGUA